UUGUAGAAUGAACCGGCGAGUUACGUUUGCCUGCGAGGUUAAGAUGAAAAGUCGGAGCCGGAGCGAAAGCGAGUCUGAACAGGGCGCUUCAGUAGGUAGAUGUAGACCCGAAACCAAGUGACCUACCCAUGACCAGGUUGAAGGUGUGGUGAAACACACUGGAGGACCGAACCCAUGUAUGUUGAAAAAUGCUGGGAUGAGUUGUGGGUAGCGGUGAAAUUCCAAACGAACUUGGAGAUAGCUGGUUCUCUCCGAAAUAGCUUUAGGGUUAGCCUCGGAGGAUGGAUCAUGGAGGUAGAGCACUGUUUGAACUAGGGGCCCGUCAAGGGUUACUGAAUUCAGAUAAACUCCGAAUACCAUUGAUCUUACUCCGGGAGUCAGACAGUGAGCGAUAAGGUCCAUUGUCGAAAGGGGAACAGCCCAGAUCACCAGUUAAGGUCCCUAAAUUUAUGCUAAGUGGAAAAGGAUGUGGCGUUGCACAGACAACUAGGAUGUUGGCUCAGAAGCAGCCACCAUUUAAAGAGUGCGUAAUAGCUCACUAGUCGAGUGGCACUGCGCCGAAAAUAUACCGGGGCUAAGCAUAAUACCGAAACUGUGGGUGCACCCGUCAGGGUGCGCGGUAGGAGAGCGUUCUAAGGGCGUUGAAGGUCGAUCGUGAGGACGGCUGGAGCGCUUAGAAGUGAGAAUGCCGGCAUGAGUAGCGAAAGAUCAGUGAGAAUCUGAUCCACCGUAUGACUAAGGUUUCCUGGGGAAGGCUCGUCCUCCCAGGGUUAGUCGGGAUCUAAGGCGAGGCCGCAAGGCGUAGUCGAUGACAAGCAGGUUGAGAUUCCUGCACUAGUUUAUUUUGUUUAAGCGAUGGAGGGACGCAGGAGGCUAAGGAAAGCGCACGGCUGGAAAAGUGCGUCCAAGCAGUAAGUCCGGUAGCGAGUGAAAUGCUUGCCGCCUUAAGGACAAGCUGUGAUGGGGAGCGAAAUUAAAGUAGCGAAGUUCCUGAUGUCACACUGCCAAGAAAAGCUUCUAGUGAGAAAUAAACUACCCGUACCGCAAACCGACACAGGUAGUCGAGGAGAGUAUCCUCAGGUGAGCGAGCGAACUCUCGUUAAGGAACUCGGCAAAAUGACCCCGUAACUUCGGAAGAAGGGGUGCUGACCGCAAGGUCAGCCGCAGUGAAUAGGCCCAAACAACUGUUUAUCAAAAACACAGGUCUCUGCUAAAUCGUAAGAUGAUGUAUAGGGGCUGACGCCUGCCCGGUGCUGGAAGGUUAAGAGGAUGAGUUAGCGCAAGCGAAGCCCAGAAUUGAAGCCCCAGUAAACGGCGGCCGUAACUAUAACGGUCCUAAGGUAGCGAAAUUCCUUGUCGGGUAAGUUCCGACCCGCACGAAAGGCGUAAUGAUUUGGGCACUGUCUCAACGAGAGACUCGGUGAAAUUAUAGUACCCGUGAAGAUGCGGGUUACCCGCGACAGGACGGAAAGACCCCAUGGAGCUUUACUGUAGCUUGAUAUUGAGUGUUGGUACCGCUUGUACAGGAUAGGUAGGAGCCGUAGAGAUCGGAACGCUAGUUUCGAUGGAGGCAUUGGUGGGAUACUACCCUAGCUGUAUGAACACUCUAACCCGCGCCACUAAUCGUGGCGGGAGACAGUGUCAGGUAGGCAGUUUGACUGGGGCGGUCGCCUCCUAAAAUGUAACGGAGGCGCCCAAAGGUUCCCUCAGAAUGGUUGGAAAUCAUUCGCAGAGUGUAAAGGUAGAAGGGAGCUUGACUGCGAGACUGACAAGUCGAGCAGGGACGAAAGUCGGGCUUAGUGAUCCGGUGGUUCCGUAUGGAAGGGCCAUCGCUCAACGGAUAAAAGCUACCCUGGGGAUAACAGGCUUAUCUCCCCCAAGAGUCCACAUCGACGGGGAGGUUUGGCACCUCGAUGUCGGCUCAUCGCAUCCUGGGGCUGUAGUCGGUCCCAAGGGUUGGGCUGUUCGCCCAUUAAAGCGGUACGCGAGCUGGGUUCAGAACGUCGUGAGACAGUUCGGUCCCUAUCCGUCGCGGGCGCAGGAAAUUUGAGAGGAGCUGUCCUUAGUACGAGAGGACCGGGAUGGACGUUCCGCUGGUGUACCAGUUGUGCCGCCAGGCGCAUCGCUGGGUAGCUAUGAACGGAAGGGAUAAACGCUGAAAGCAUCUAAGUGUGAAGCCCCCCUCGAGAUGAGAUUUCCCAUUCCUAUAUGGAAGUAAGACCCCUGAAAGAUGAUCAGGUAGAUAGGCUGGAAGUGGAAGUGCAGCGAUGCAUGGAGCGGACCAGUACUAAUCGGUCGAGGACUUAACCAA
rnacentral:rRNA from 1 species